rnacentral:rRNA from 1 species
UUUACCACGGUGUGGUUCAUGACUGGGGUGAAGUCGUAACAAGGUAGCCCUAGGGGAACCUGGGGCUGGAUCACCUCCUUACU